rnacentral:rRNA from 1 species
ACAUGUAGAUAUACCUACUUGAAGGUGUCUGACCUUACAUCAUCUCAGAAGCUAAGCAAGGUCAGGCUUAGAUAACACAUGGAUGAGAGACUGCCUGGGAAUAUUUGGUGCUACAUCUG